rnacentral:rRNA from 1 species
GACGAACGCUGGCGGCAGGCCUAACACAUGCAAGUCGAACGCCCUAGCAAUAGGGAGUGGCAGACGGGUGAGUAACGCGUGGGAACCUUCCCAGUGGUACGGAAUAACUCAGGGAAACUUGAGCUAAUACCGUAUACGCCCGAAAGGGGAAAGAUUUAUCGCCAUUGGAUGGGCCCGCGUCGGAUUAGCUAGUUGGUGGGGUAACGGCCCACCAAGGCUACGAUCCGUAGCUGGUCUGAGAGGAUGAUCAGCCACACUGGGACUGAGACACGGCCCAGACUCCUACGGGAGGCAGCAGUGGGGAAUAUUGGACAAUGGGCGCAAGCCUGAUCCAGCCAUGCCGCGUGAGUGACGAAGGCCUUAGGGUUGUAAAGCUCUUUCGGCGGGGAAGAUAAUGACGGUACCCGCAGAAGAAGCCCCGGCUAACUCUGUGCCAGCAGCCGCCGUAACAC